rnacentral:rRNA from 1 species
AUUCCUACGGGAGGCAGCAGUAGGGAAUCUUCCACAAUGGACGAAAGUCUGAUGGAGCAACGCCGCGUGAGUGAAGAAGGGUUUCGGCUCGUAAAACUCUGUUGUUAAAGAAGAACAUAUCUGAGAGUAACUGUUCAGGUAUUGACGGUAUUUAACCAGAAAGCCACGGCUAACUCCGUGCCAGCAGCCGCGGUAAUAA